rnacentral:tRNA from 1 species
UGUACUAUAGUUUAUAUAACUAAAACCUUGAAUUGCAAAUUCAUUUAAGGACAACAAAAAUCCUAGUACGG